CGAAGCUUUAGCCAUCCGGUCGAUCUUAUGCAGAGUGGCUUCUACCACGGCUGCAGCAGCUGCGGAGUUCGUGCCUCCACGUAUGUCCAUUGUGUACUAGGGGACAUACGGUCCGAUUAAGGAGAUGGAGCCUCCUGCCCUUGAGGAGUGGCGUCUAAUUUCAAGUUCUCAAGUGAGGUGAUGACAAGAAUGGCGACAGCUAUGGACGCUUUCCGGUAACAAAUGGUGAGGUUGAGUCACCCAACCUCAUGUUGUUGCGAUGGCGACGUUGUAACGCCCGCCCCUCCGUCACGUACUCGCUUGAGGCCAGAGGGCUUGAGGGAGAAAGCUGAAUCGAGGCGUC